GUAACGACGCCAUCGCUGCCACAGGCUCCGAAGCAGGCGGCCCGGCAUGGCCGUCCCGCGGCGCUGUAACGAGGACAGCGCCGGAGAGGGUUGAUUCAUCUUGUUUCUGAUGAGUUUGGUCCUGUGAGAAAUGACUACUGGCAGAAAAAUGAAGGAUAAAAGUGGAAAUGAGUACAUAACCACAGGCUUGGAUAGAGAAAACAAUGGAGGAAAAAGAUGUAAUGAAAUGAGAAGCAAAUCAAAUCUAAGCACCUAAUUUUUGAGACCAGUUACAAAUGACAGCAUGCGAUGGAAGGAGGAAGACAAAGGCUGGGCUGAGAGAGCUCCAAAUGGGUGUAAUGGCAGAGGCAUAAGGGUACGGGGGAGACUCUCUUUCUCCUCACUCCUGGAGAUUCAGAUUUCACUGUGCGGCCCGCCGGGGAGCUGCCGGGAGAAGGACUGCGGCGGCCCUUGGGAGCUGGUGAAGUGGUGCUUGCCUGGCUUUCUCCUGGAGACUCAGCUGCCAAGCUGGAGAAGAUUCAUACUAUUCUUUUCUUCACACCCACGAACUUGGGAGAUCUACCAGGCCUAAUGUAAACUAGUUUCUGAGAACCACUGUUUACAGAGGGAGUUUAAGACCAAUAUGGUCCCAUUUCUCAUUUCUUCCUCUCCAAAAAAAACCCACGGAAGCUUCAAAAACUUUUAAUCCUGAGGCUUGUAUUCUUUUGAUAGUCAUUGCUAAAAAUUCCAGUUUAUCCCCCACUUUGUUGUGUCCUUGAUACCUGAUGAAGAACCUUUAGAAACCUUUGAGAAAAAUGGGACAUAUGAGCAUCCUCUUCCUGAAUUGUUGAUCACAGAUUAGUAAGCAAGGAAAAGGAUACUAAUACUUUAUAGUAUCGGGUAAAUGUCUAUUUCCUUUUAAGAAUUCUCCUUUGUGCUACACGACAAAUCUAGGGUUGUGUCUAAAUGACAACCAAUGGAUAAGUAUAGGGGGCUUUUACAAUACGUUACAGAAGUAGACUGGAACUCCCUACACCACUACUGGGGACAGCUUCCCACAAAGCACUGUCUCCUGUCCUCAGUCUAAGAGCACUAGUACAUAGUCCAUGGCACAAAGCAGGUAUUGGGGGGUGGGGGGAGGGAUGGCUGUUCCUUAACCACUUUGCCUUGCAUCAGAAAGAUCCCAAAUCAAUGUUAUAUGGAGGCUCUGGUAUAUGCUUUUCUUUGGAACUUCCUCCAAUGGGUGUGUUAACUACAUUUUUACCAAGUCAGUUAUUUUUCAAAAAGCAUGGCAGUUCAGUUUGAGUAUUCUUUUAAGAGAUCAAAUGAGUACGGCUAGUAAUUGGAAGACUGGACUGUUACUGUAUAUAUUCCUCUCUUUUAAGAAAAGUUGGUUUACAGUUAAAAAUGUAACUGUAUGUAAAUGUAAUUUGAGUGAAUACAUCCAUGUUGAUAAAAACCCUUGGGCUAUUUUCACUGUUCCCAGAUUAAUGGAGGAGAGUAUGAUAUAGCACCAAAUUAGAGCACAAAGCCCUCUUACAUCCUCUGCUAGGAGAAUGAUUUCUUUCAAAUGCCGCAGAACAGCUGAUACUAUUUCUAUAGUACUACUUCCUUCUAGCUGGUGGAAAGGCAUGUUAACUGGGAUGCUCAAAAUGAGGAAGAAUGACUUCCUAAUAAAUGUUGCUUUUCUUCUUUAUGCUUUUAAUGCUAGAAACCCACUCUGUUCAAUCAAUGUUGGCAUGUCUACUACAUGUAAGCUCUGGUCUAAGCAUCAGAUAUACAAAGUGGGAUAAAGAAACAAAAGAUAAAUAAGACAGGACCUCUAUCCCUCCAGGUGCUUAGUCUAGCACUUUCUCUAUGGUAGAGAAAAUAUGAGGCCAUCUCUGCAACAAUAGAAGUAUUUUAACAUACCAUAAAUAGUUGCAAGGAUGGAGUGGAUCUCCAUCCCUUAAAUUUAUCUAGGGGAAUCCUGGAAAGAUCCACAGAGAAGGUAACACCUGAAUAAUUUUAAAGGAAAGAGAAGGACUGGCAUGGAGUUGAUUAAGGCUGAAAGAUUUUCUAGACAAAAGAUCUAACUUUGGUGAAAAUAAUGUUCUAUAAAAUACCAAACAGUUUAUAACCCUACUGUUAGGAAAUAUUAGAUAAAAUGAAAUUAAAUGAGUUUAUUUAAAGACCUAUGUGCAUCUUAAUUUUCCAAAAGGGGUGAAAAAAGAAGAUACACAGCAUUCCUUACAUUGGCAUAGAAGCCCCUUUUAGCAGAACACCUUUGGUAGAGUAGUGGUUCUUGGGAUAUAUUGUGAGAAAUCUGUACUGAAUCAUCUAUAUAGUCCCUUUUGGCUCAAAUAAGUCAAUAUAUCUAAGAAGAAAAAUCUAGAGAAGAAACUAAAACUAGCUGUCUUACUAUCUUAAUGUAAGACUUCUCAA